rnacentral:rRNA from 1 species
CUACGGGGCGCACCAGUGGGGAAUAUUGGACAAUGGGGGAAACCCUGAUCCAGCAAUGCCGCGUGUGUGAAGAAGGCCUGCGGGUUGUAAAGCACUUUCGGUUGGGAGGACUGCUUCUAGCACUAAUAUUGUUGGAAGUUGACGUUACCUUCAGAAGAAGCACCGGCUAACUCCGUGCCAGCAGCCGCAGUGAAUACGGAGGGUGCAAGCGUUAAUCGGAAUUACUGGGCGUAAAGCGCGCGUAGGCGGCUAGAUCAGUCGGGUGUGAAAGCCCCGGGCUUAACCUGGGAACUGCAUCCGAUACUGUCUAGCUUGAGUACAGGAGAGGAGAGUGGAAUUCCACAUGUAGCGGUGAAAUGCGUAGAUAUGUGGAGGAACACCAAUGGCGAAGGCAGCUCUCUGGCCUGAUACUGACGCUGAGGUGCGAAAGCGUGGGGAGCAAACAGGAUUAGAUACCCUCGUAGUC